rnacentral:rRNA from 1 species
AGUGAACGCUGGCGGUAGGCCUAACACAUGCAAGUCGAACGGCAGCACAGGAGAGCUUGCUCUCUGGGUGGCGAGUGGCGGACGGGUGAGGAAUACAUCGGAAUCUACUCUGUCGUGGGGGAUAACGUAGGGAAACUUACGCUAAUACCGCAUACGACCUACGGGUGAAAGCAGGGGACCUUCGGGCCUUGCGCGAUUGAAUGAGCCGAUGUCGGAUUAGCUAGUUGGCGGGGUAAAGGUCCACCAAGGCGACGAUCCGUAGCUGGUCUGGGAGGAUGGUCAGCCACACUGGAACUGAGACACGGUCCAGACUCCUACGGGAGGCAGCAGUGGGGAAUAUUGGACAAUGGGCGCAAGCCUGAUCCAGCCAUACCGCGUGGGUGAAGAAGGCCUUCGGGUUGUAAAGCCCUUUUGUUGGGAAAGAAAUCCAGCUGGCUAAUACCCGGUUGGGAUGACGGUACCCAAAGAAUAAGCACCGGCUAACUUCGUGCCAGCCGCCGCGGUAA